rnacentral:lncRNA from 12 species
GUGCUAAGUUAAAUUUAAAAAACAAAAUUUCACAAAAUGCCUAUAGUAAGAAAUGCUAGGUAAUUCAUAGUUCCUCUUAUUUGCUAAUAAGAUUCAUGGCCUUACCAAGGAAUAGCUUUUUUUCAAUGAUGUUAUUUUGCUGCAUCUAUAGGGGACUGUCAGUUAAAACCUUAAUUUUCGGUUUUUAUUUUUUUAAUUUUAUUCAUUCAUUCAUUCAUUCAUUCAUUCAUUCAUGAGAGACCGAGAGAGAGGCAGAAACACAGACAUAGGGAGACGCAGGCUCCAUGCAGAGAGCCCGACGUGGGACUCGAUCCGGGGGACUCCAGGAUCACACCCCGAGGGGAAGGCGGCGCUAAACCACUGACUCACCGGAGCUGCCUCAGUUUUUAUUUUGAUAAGACGAAUGUUCAGAUUGUUUUCUCCUUUCUAAAAAGUCAAAUCUUGCAACUUCUCGGAAGGAGAAAGUUUCUUUCCUUUUCUUUCUACAGUAGAUAGUGUCUGAGCAGUAGAGGCAUGAAGUGUACCACAGGGACAAUCACAAGAAGAUGUGCUGGAAUCCCUAUGGCCAUAAAAGAAAGAACCUGGAAGUGUGUGGAAAAUGGACUGGAACAAAGAUGAAGCCAGAUGCAGCAGCUGGCUUAGGGUGCCACCGAAGUGAUCACAGUGAGAAUGUGAGAAACAAAGUAAGGGACAACACAGAGGACCCAGGACAGGAACUGGGACAUUUUGCCUGGAUCUGCACCUGAGUGACCUUGUAAAUUUGAGUAAGUCAUUGUGGCUCUAUUGUCUUCCUUUUCUUCAUCAACUAAGAGGUAGGGUGGGGUUGGAUGGGACAGUUUUUCUUUGGUGCUUACAUUCUAAGACUCUAUGAUUUUAUAUAUUCUACUUAUAUUUUACAAACAUAUUCUCAUGUUUAAGUAAACUGAACAUAUACCUACUAGAGGAGAUGAACUGAAAAAACUAUUUAAAGAGUAAGAGAUUUCGAAGUGGAUGACAUCAUUAAACAAACCGCACCCCAGGGCCUGGCCCUAAAGAUAUUGACCAUCAGGAGAACCCUGAGGGGGAACAGUAAGUAAGGAAAACAAUUCACAUAUUUGCUGAAAGACUGAUGUGUGGGUUAUUCUCGGUGGGUCUGGCUUAGGUAUGGAUGUUUUAGUAGUUUGGAGAAGUUGAGUAAGAAGGUGGGUAAAUGUGGGGAUCCCUGGGUGGCUCAGCAGUUUAGCGCCUGCCUUUGGCCCAGGGCAUGAUCCUGGAGUCCUGGGAUCGAGUCCUGCAUCAGGCUCCCUGCAUGGAGCCUGCUUCUUCCUCUGCCUGUGUCUCUGCCUCUCUUUCUCUCUCUGUGUCUCUCAUGAAUAAAUGAAUAAAAUCUUUAAGAGAGGAAAAAAAA